rnacentral:rRNA from 1 species
UGCCAGCCGCCGCGGUAAUACGAAGGGGGCGAGCGUUGUUCGGAAUUACUGGGCGUAAAGCGUACGUAGGCGGUUUGACAAGUUAGGAGUGAAAGCCCCGGGCUCAACCUGGGAACUGCUCUUAAGACUGUUAAACUAGAAUCUCGGAGAGGAUAGCGGAAUUCCCAGUGUAGAGGUGAAAUUCGUAGAUAUUGGGAGGAACACCAGUGGCGUAGGCGGCUAUCUGGACGAGUAUUGACGCUGAGGUACGAAAGCGUGGGGAUCAAACAGGAUUAGAUA